GGCGCUACACUCUGCUGUUAAACUUUUCAAAUAGUUCAGCACCAAUUUUCACACCUCAUUGGGAUGGCUCAAAUGCUAAGAAUCUGUUAAUCUAAUCAACCCUAAACCAGGUCACCUCUGUCACCCGACACAAUCCGGCAGGAACACAACUGUGUGCCCUCCGUGAGCUGCAGGCAGGAUUUCUAAAUAGCAGGACCUGAAGCAAAAGGAAGCAGGACAUCUUUAAAACUUUCCAAAUCUGGAGGUGUUGUACUGGAAAAGGCUACCCAUUCAAAAAGAGGCAAGAACAAAACAAGAACUACAAAAGCACACCUGCAGGGCCUUGAGUUCCUGGGUGUGGAAGAAGAAGCUGGCUCGUGAGAUCGGAGGGCCUCCACUGAGCUUCAGUCCUCCUGAGCUGUGUGCGGAAUUGCUGCGGAGUCGCACACCCUGUCUCCCAGCCCGAGUCGCACACCCUGCCGCCCCCCCACCCCCCGACCCCUAG